GUCUACAGCCAUGCUGCUCUGAACGUGCCUGAUCCUGUCUGAUCUUGGAAACUAAACAGGGUUGGGCCUGGUUAGUACUUGGAUGGGAGACCACCUAGGAAUACCAGGUGCUAUAGGUG
rnacentral:rRNA from 1 species